UACGAAGGGGGCUAGCGUUGUUCGGAAUCACUGGGCGUAAAGGGCGCGUAGGCGGCCGAUCAAGUCGGGGGUGAAAGCCUGUGGCUCAACCACAGAAUUGCCUUCGAUACUGGUUGGCUUGAGACCGGAAGAGGUAAGUGGAACUGCGAGUGUAGAGGUGAAAUUCGUAGAUAUUCGCAAGAACACCAGUGGCGAAGGCGGCUUACUGGUCCGGUUCUGACGCUGAGGCGCGAAAAGCGUGGGGGAGCAAACAGG
rnacentral:rRNA from 1 species